GAUUGCGCAAUAGGUCCCCACAAACACCGAAAAAGCAACGGUCUGACAUGUUUGUUUGUUUGGUCCGGCCGUGAUUAUGUAACUGCCUCUGUUUUCUCUGUGCACUGGUGUCCCUAUCCAAGUCUCCAGAAAUAGGACAGCAGCCAUUCCAGGUAGCAGGGGAAUGGCCCUUCCUCACUUUCUGACGAUUUUUUUUUACGCUCUUCUGUCUUUGGGGAAAGCGGCAGGCUAAGGAAAACCGGGAAGCCACGCAGACCUCUGCCUGUGACACAGCACGUGGGCUGGCCUCUGGCAACUGACAGAGGGAACAUUGCUGCUGAUGCGAAGAAAAGUCAUCAGAGAUUCUAAAAAAUAACGGCUAUGGCGGAUAAGCAAGGAGGGACAGGAGGUGACCAAGGCCACAGUGGGGAGAGACCUAGCAGAGAGAGCACCCACCUCAAUCAGGCCACAGCCGGGACGGAGGUUCUGAGCCACGUCUCCUGAGUUCAUUUACUCGGUGGAAGUCAAUCUUAAUUGUCAAUUCGAUGAGAUUUUUAAUCGCCAUGGAAACAGACCUCUGAGCAUGUCACGGAGACAGUUUCUAUAUCAGGUUAAUCGAGGUACAUCUGAGGUACAACAGUCUACCUCAUAGUGGCCUCUGACAGUCCAAAGCACGAGCGGUCAUUGCCAGGGCAGCUCCAUUGUCUGCCAGAGCCCUCUCUGCUCUGCUUAUAGCUGUCUCAUGCCAGCCGAGUCGCUUCAGCAUGCAGGUGCCUGCCUCUGCUCACCCCCUGUCAGUUCCCAGGUAUGGCAUGAAGGGUAAUGCCCCGGUGUCUCUAAUGACAGUCAUCACCUACCUCACAGUUCUAGGAGCCUCGUGUCUGAGUCUGAGGUAUAAGCAAGAUCCUACACUUCCACGGCCCUAGGAGAGGAUCCUUCAUGCCUCUCCCAGCUACUGGUGAAGGUCACAGUUUGAUCAUCUGACUUAAGGACCCAGUGCCCUGCCAUCUACCCGUUUCUUCACAUGUAGGCAGCUAUGCCCAAACAGUCUCCUUAUGUAAGUGCUACUCACUCCCCCAACCUACAUGCUGCCACCUGACCACUCUGGCAGAGUCACUCUUCACAAUGAGACCACAUGCCAUAAAGAGUCCCUUGAAUAGGCUACGCAAGCCCACACUGCCACCCAACCUCAGAUCCCAUGUUGACCCGUCACUCACAUCCCUUCACUGGGCAUGUGCGGUUCAACUGGCCAGCUGCAGCCUCAGGGUCCCAGGUCUUCACCCUUCCCACAUCCUAUUCACCUUGGAAGUUCCUGUUGGUCCUUCAAAUGGUUAUUAAACUCCUCUAAUGUACAUUAUGUUGGUAAAUAGUCACGUACUGUUUGAGCCCACUGAGUAUCUUGCUAUGGAAGUGGGGUUUGCACUCACAUUUCAGACCAAAGUGUGUUUAUAUCAAGUGUCUUCCAAGACCCUGUGCCCCAAAAUAAAACAAAACAAAGCCUAUGCUAGCUUAGGCCGAGGGCCUCCUGCUCUGUAGCAAGCAGUUGGAGUCUCUGAGUAUUAAAAAGAUUGUGUCUUUGGGAACAGCUAGAAGGAAGAGUGUUUCCAGCAGAGGUUACUACAGUUUGACACGUGAUACAAAAUGUUUGCGGUUGGAAAGAGAAGCUAGGAGCUCAUUCGUGGAGAGGGUAGAGAGGACCCUCACAGUCAGGAGCUCCAGCCACCCGAUUCCCUGGCCGGUUUCGGCUGGACAUCCUGAACUCUUGAUCUGAUGAUGCCACUUUUCUAUUCUUUGUUCUUUUACUUGGAAACCCCACCAAGGGAAUGCUCAGCCCUACUCUGGACUCUAAGCCAGGUGCCUCAGUGGGACCUCCCUGGUCACAUCUGCUCCGUGUUUAAAGCUCCUCUCUUCCCACCCCACUUAACAAGAUCCUCUCUCUCUCUCUCUCUCUCUCUCUCUCUCUCUCUCUCUCUCUCCCUACAGAUCAGAGACACCAGGAUGCCCCCCGUAAAAAAUUUUCUUCUUUAAGUUGCCUUGGUCAUUGUGUCUAAGUAGCUAAGACACCUUGCUCGGUUUUAAACUCACUCAUUCAAAACCAAAACCAUAGCUUUCAUAAACCAUUCUCUGGACUGUACAGAACAACUCCUUAAGGCAAACACAUAUCUGUGGAUUCUAUAUAUGGCCAAGCAGGUGAGUGUCUCCUUGGAUGGCUGAGAAAUCAGGUAAUGAUGAUAGACAUAAAGUACCAAAUGUCUAUGGUUCCAGGUUAACUCAUUCAAGGCACAGGCAUGUUUGUGCUGAGUCUGUUUUAAUCAAUGCAACAUGCCUGGGUUUGGGGUUGCUAUUUCUCUAGAAAUCUCCAAAGAUUUCUGCCCUAACUCAUAGACUAUAUAGGUGUGGGCACAUUGCAGUCAUCUGAAGACCUGCAAACUAUGGCAUAGUGUAAGACCUUUGCCUCCUGAUGUCAUUAGCCCUUUCCAAGGGGUGCUUGCUACUUGAGUAAUGGCUCCCCAGUGCUCUGUUUAUAGGAAGGGGCCUGGAGAGCAAGUCCAUCUCUCAGGGUUUGCUUUCCUUUCAUUCACAUGAGCAGGUCUUAGCAGACAAUCCUCCUGGUGUGAGAUCUGAUGGGAAUUUGGGGUCACAGAAGCAUAUCAGUGAGGGUUGGGGGCUUUGCGAGGUUAUCAGAUGACCCUCUUGACUUUGCUGGGUCCUGGGAGGCAAGAAUGACAGGCAAAGGAGCCACUGAGUAGAUGUGAACGCCUUUAAUUCCUGUACUGAGGGAAGCACGGGCAGGUGGAUCUCUGAGUUCAAGACCAGCUUGGCCUAAAGAACAAGUUCCAGGACAGCUAAAGAUAAACAAAGAAACUCUGUCUCAAAAACUCAAAAGCAAAAAAAAAAAAAAAAAUAGAGAGAGAGAGAGAGAAAUAUUAAAAAGUAUUUAAGUGUCCAAGGUGUCAUGAGCUAGUAGAUACAAUGUGUAGUCAUUUUAACAGGAGGUUCUUAGUGAGUGACUCUUGGUAGCCCUCAACAGCAUUCCUGGCUAUUUGCAGAAGGUAGCAGGCCCUGCUUGGUCUCUCUCUGUAAACAAGCCAACAUAGCCAGGGCAGAUAUUUCCCCACUGACACACCAACCAGUCUGUGUAUCCUCAGUUGAUGCCUCCACAGUGUUUGGCACUAGAGUCUGUGUGUGGCCAAAUGCCAGGCCCACAGAUGUCUUUAAAGAUAGCUCAUGUCCAAGAGCAGAUAAUGUACACUACUCUUGAUUACUAAUCAACACCAGUCUGCCCCUUGUGAGGAAAGCUCAUGCUUUGCUGAGGAGUGACAGAGGGUGCAAUCUCAGCCUGCGCUCCGUGUGGGCUGAGCUCUGCAGGAAUCAAGACAUAAAACCUUCCAGCUGCAGCUCUGACACACCUGGCUGAGGUGAAGGGAACCUUCAUGAAUCAUCAUGGUGAGUUCCUCUUCACAGUAGACCCUGUCCCAGGUCCUAGCAACCAUCACUGCUUCCCCCAGCUCAUCCUACUGUAGCUGUGAAGCUUGGGGGCAAUCCAGAGCUCUCUGGAAGUGUUGUUUAUCCUUCUCACCACAAUGGGGAAUCCUGUCCCAUCACAGGGACACCCAUAAGCAUUGAGACCUUAUUUGUUUCUUACACUGGCCCUGCCCAUUGCAGAGAUGGGUAAACUCUUAAGAACUGAUUCUGGAAAAGAUGACCCACUCUCCGUUCACAGGGUUUCAGAGUACUGGGCUUUCCCUUUCCUUCUCUCACAGAUGAGAGGGAAGCCAGUGUAGAGACACUUAGUCAAGAGACAAAGUUCUACAAUGAGCCCCUAGGCCCAGAGCAGAGCCUAGCCUCUGCCAAUGGCCCCUGACUUCCUAUCGUUCUUCUUUGACUUCUGUUUGCUGUGCAAAGUUGUCCAAGGAAUCCUUGAAUAACAAGUCAAUGAAACUCUUUGUUGGAAUCCUUUUAUGCAUAAUUUAUUAUAUUUUAUGUAUAUGGCUAUUUUAUCAGCGUAUAUAUCUAUGCACUACAUAUGUCCCUGAUACCUGUAAAGGCAGAAAAGGGAGUCAGAUCCUCUAAUAUUGGAGUUGCAGACAGUUGUGAGUUGUCAGUGGGUGCUAGGAAUUGAGUGAAUGUGGGUUCUCUGUAAAAGCAGUUCUUAACCACCGAUCCCUCUCUCCGUCCCCUCAAUGAAAGUGAAAACCACCGGAUGACUCUCCCAGUAGUCAUGUAGGAAAGGGAGCCUCAUGCCACCCAUCAACAGCAAGCAAAGUGGCUUCAUCCACUCCUGUUCUCAGCGACUAUUUGCUAACCACUGCACAGCAGGCUCUAUUUAAAGAGCAGAGAACCACUCAGAUGGGCCAGACACCUGCUCCCAUGAGCAAGGUCCUAGCACAGACCUGAGGCUCAUGGAUUGUGAGUUGAUGUGAGGAGGACUUACCACACUCUAUUGAGCCUCUCUGCUGGGACACACAUGGAAGAAGUUGAUGAGAGUGGUCUUGACUCCAGUUUAAAAAUGUCAGCAUCACUCAGGAGAAACCAUCAGGGCUAUAGAACAUGGUAUUCUGAAGUCAGAAAGGACUGAGUGGGCUGGACAUCCAGUAAUAGAGAACCUGCUGCAGAGAGGAAUGAAGGGUACCAGAGAUCAAACGGAUGGAAGGAGUGGACCACACUCAGGGAGGUCCCACUUCCUCCCCAUCCCUCUACAGUCACUCUCAUGACUGUGGGCAAUGACCUCUUACUUACAGAAACAGGUCCCUGGCUUCACUGGGCCCAUAGGCCAUAGUUUAUGGACAGGCUUUGGUCUAUGACAUUAGUAGAAAAAAACAUCAUGGUUCGAAGAGUACACACCUCUGUCACAUGCUUUGGCAGCCCUCACAUGUACAUGCGGCAAUGUCUUUCAGAAAAGGGAGUUCUCUAUCAGGUUUCCAACGGGGAGGCUUACGGAAAUUCAGGAGGUCUGUGACGCCUUUAAAAUUAUAAGCAAACCUUUAUGCAACUGCUUUCCAGAGAUUUGUAAUCCAUAAUG
rnacentral:lncRNA from 1 species